rnacentral:rRNA from 1 species
CCUACGGGAGGCUGCAGUGGGGAAUUUUGGACAAUGGGCGAAAGCCUGAUCCAGCCAUGCCGCGUGAGUGAAGAAGGCCUUCGGGUUGUAAAGCUCUUUCAGACGGAAAGAAAUAGCUUCGGUGAAUAUCCGAGGUUGAUGACGGUACCGUAAGAAGAAGCACCGGCUAACUACGUGCCAGCAGCCGCGGUAAUACGUAGGGUGCGAGCGUUAAUCGGAAUUACUGGGCGUAAAGCGUGCGCAGGCGGUUACAUAAGACAGAUGUGAAAUCCCCGGGCUUAACCUGGGAACUGCGUUUGUGACUGUGUGACUAGAGUACGGUAGAGGGGGGUGGAAUUCCUGGUGUAGCAGUGAAAUGCGUAGAUAUCAGGAGGAACAUCGAUGGCGAAGGCAGUCCCCUGGACCUGUACUGACGCUCAUGCACGAAAGCGUGGGGAGCAAACAGGAUUAGAUACCCCUGUAGUC